rnacentral:rRNA from 1 species
UACGAAGGGGGCUAGCGUUGUUCGGAAUCACUGGGCGUAAAGCGCACGUAGGCGGAUCUUUAAGUCAGGGGUGAAAUCCCGAGGCUCAACCUCGGAACUGCCUUUGAUACUGGGGAUCUCGAGUCCGGGAGAGGUGAGUGGAACUGCGAGUGUAGAGGUGAAAUUCGUAGAUAUUCGCAAGAACACCAGUGGCGAAGGCGGCUACUGGCCGGUACUGACGCUGAGGCGCGAAAAGCGUGGGGGAGCAACAAGAGUAAGAAUCCCGGUAAAGC